GCGGUCGUGGUGGAACGGCAGACACGCUAGCUUCAGGCGCUAGUGAGAGCAAUCUCGUGGAGGUUCAAAUCCUCUCGGCCGCACCA
rnacentral:tRNA from 1 species